UUACGGCCAUAUUACGUUGAAAUUCCGGAUCAGGUACGAGUCACAGAAGUUAAGUAACGUUGAGCCUGGUCAGUACCUAGAUGAGUGACCACUUUAGAAUACUAGGUGCUGUCAG